CCCCAGGAUAACAUAUCCACUCCCACUACAGACACAUCCUGUCUUCCCUGGAAGACUAGUGAGCAAUGUGAAUAAAGUAUCUUUUAUCAGUUCCCACAGCCAAAAAUUAUAGAGUCCUCUCCUUGGAUAGGCACUGUUCCAGAAACAGGCUCUUGUGAAAGUGAAAUUGGUUCAAGACACAACUCAUCACUGGCAGGCCUCAUUUGUAUGCACAGAAAAUACCACCUCAAGGUCUGUAGAGAUUGGCCCAUGAUCAACAUGUCUACACUGAUUACAUAAGUUGCCUGCAGCUGCAUUUAGAUUACCUGGACUGUAUCCUCAAGCUGUCCUGCUGUAGAAAGAUACAUAGAACAUGCUGUUCCAAAAGAUGCUUCUUUUAACAAAAAGUCUGUCUUCUCUGAAGAAUCUGUCAUAUUGAACAUAAAUCAGUGCUGAUAUGUCAUCGGCAAAAUAGUCUGGGCCUGUUCUACCUUUAGGCAACUUCAAAAGCCUAGGAAAGUGGCAGUAUUAACUGUGAAGGAAACUGAUUCUGCCAGGCAAAGACCAGACUCUUCUCUCCAGAGAGCAGCCAUCCUCUCUAACACUGUGCAUCAGUUGAGUCUCCCAGCUGGCUCACUCCUGUUCCGCUCUCCUCAACAGACCAGCUAACUGUGCCAAAUUAUGCAUCAGGUUUUGGCAGCAUGACCUACUUCCCACAGAAGACUGAGCAGAGAAUUGCACUGUUCAUUUAAGUCUGGAUUUGAACCAUUAAGCUUUGGUACACAGUAUGAAAAGCCCAUGCUUUAACUGCCACUUAACACUUGAACUUAUUUACUUUGUUAUUGUUAUCACACACCUUCUACAGGUGUACAGGUUAACAGGUAAGUAAUUAUAUUACGCUGGGAAAUGGCUCCUUAUUCAUAAUUAGUUUUGAGACUAAUCAUUCUACAACCAAUGUUGCCAUCGCAUUAGACUCCUAAAUCUUCUCUUUUUACAAUGGAAACGUAUAUUUCUAGCUACAGGCAUUGCUUCACCAUAACAAGAGGCAUUCAUUCUUGUUGCAUAUCUCUUUAAAUUAUUGACUUGUUUACCACGGAAACAUAUAAAGGGAUGCAUCCUGUAGUUCAGUGGACAAGUGGCCCCAUUAAUAUAUUGCCUGUGAUACCCUCUGAUAUUGCUUGAGGCCACAGGAAAUUAAAAGUUAAAACUUUAAGAU
rnacentral:lncRNA from 1 species